UACGAGGGGGGCGAGAGUUGUUCGGAAUUAUUGGGCGUAAAGGGUGCGUAGGCGGUUUGGUAAGUCUUAUGUGAAAUCUACAGGCUCAACUUGUAGUCUGCAUGAGAAACUGCCGGGCUUGAGUAUGGGAGAGGGGGGUAGAAUUCCACGUGUAGCAGUGAAAUGCGUAGAGAUGUGGAGGAAUACCGAUGGCGAAGGCAGCCCCCUGGGCUAACACUGACGCUCAUGCACGAAAGCGUGGGGAGCAAACAGG
rnacentral:rRNA from 1 species